rnacentral:rRNA from 1 species
CACGUAGGGCGCAAGCGUUGUCCGGAAUUAUUGGGCGUAAAGAGCUCGUAGGCGGUCUGUUGCGUCCGCUGUGAAAACUCGGGGCUUAACCCCGAGCCUGCAGUGGAUACGGGCAGACUAGAGUGCGGUAGGGGAGAUCGGAAUUCCUGGUGUAGCGGUGAAAUGCGUAGAUAUCUGGAGGAACACCGGUGGCGAAGGCGGCAUCCUGGACCAACACUGACGCUGAGGAGCGAAAGCCAGGGGAGCAAAGCGGG